GCGCAGCAGGCGCGAAACUGGCCAAUGCGCGAAAGCGUGAGCCGGCUAAUCUGAGUGGUUCCCCAUCGGGAACCUUUGCCAAGUGUACAAAGCUUGGCGAAUAAGGAGAGGGCAAGACUGGUGCCAGCCGCCGCGGUAAAACCAGCUCUUCGAAUCGUGGGCAUGAUUAUUUGGCUUAAAGUGUGCGUAGCAGGACAGGAUAAGUCUCCUGUGAAAUGCCAGGUCUUAAGCCUGGCGCGUGCGGGGAGAUACUAUCCGUCGUUGGGGACCGGAUAGGUAUGAUGUACACAAGUGGGGUA
rnacentral:rRNA from 1 species